GCAAACUCUGCGACAGUGUGUUGGCGUCUGAGGGGAAAAGCCUCAUUUGCAGGUAACAUCUGCUGGCCGGGCUUGGGCCUCCAGAGAGCACUUUUCAUGGAGGCCAUACAAAUGGUUCCUAAACUCCAGCUUAUUUUGUGUUUCACGUCAGCAAGCCGGAAUCAUCAGAGGCUUUCUCUGUUCAGCAACACUGGGCACGGAGGCAGAUUUACACAGCAUGCCUCCCCUUGCUACUGCUCCAACUUCAUCCCACAGCAGCCAUAAGCCAGCCACUGACACACCAGCCAUACGGUCUUUUUGUAUGUGGAAUUCCGUGUUUCCGAGUCAUGAACCAGGCUUUGAAAUACAUUAAUGGCACAGGAUUGAUAUUGAACCUUUAUAAUUGAUAAUUCCUGUUCACAUGGAGCUCUGAUGUGUGGAGAUUUGCUCUGCCUUUUCCAUAUGCCUCUAACCAGGAGAGUCAGUACCUUUCUUCUUUCACCUGUGGAGGACAUCAGUACACCUGACAGCAUGGCAGGGCUUCACUGGAAACCCUCCUACUUCUCCAAGGUGCUCAAUUAAGACUUACAGGGUCUACACCUCUUAGAGAAAUGGAAAUAAAAAUAAAAAUAA